rnacentral:misc_RNA from 1 species
GAAAUGCGAUAAGUAAUGUGAAUUGCAGAAUUCAGUGAAUCAUCGAAUCUUUGAACGCAUCUUGCGCUCCUUGGUAUUCCUUGGAGCAUGCCUGUUUGAGUAUCUUGAAAUCUUCAAAGUAAAUCUUUUGUUAACUCAAUUGGUUUCUACUUUGGUAUUGGAGGUCUUUGCAGCUUCACACCUGCUCCUCUUUGUUCAUUAGCUGGAUCUCAGUGUUAUGCUUGGUUCCACUCGGCGUGAUAAGUUAUCUAUCGCUGAGGACACUGUAAAAGGUGGCCAAGGUAAAUGCAGAUGAACCGCUUCUAAUAGUCCAUUGACUUGGACAAUACUUUUAUGAUCUGAUCUCAAAUCAGGUAGGACUACCCGCUGAACUUAAGC